GCUGUAGCUCAGUGGCAAAGCUUCUGCUUUGCAUGUAGAACAUCCCAGGUUCACCCCUGGCACCUCCA